AUUGAACGCUGGCGGCAUGCUCUACACAUGCAAGUCGAACGGUAACAGGCCGCAAGGUGCUGACGAGUGGCGAACGGGUGAGUAAUGCAUCGGAACGUGCCUAGUCGUGGGGGAUAACUACUCGAAAGAGUAGCUAAUACCGCAUACGAUCUAUGGAUGAAAGCGGGGGACCGUAAGGCCUCGCGCGAUUGGAGCGGCCGAUGUCAGAUUAGGUAGUUGGUGGGGUAAAGGCUCACCAAGCCAACGAUCUGUAGCUGGUCUGAGAGGACGACCAGCCACACUGGGACUGAGACACGGCCCAGACUCCUACGGGAGGCAGCAGUGGGGAAUUUUGGACAAUGGGCGCAAGCCUGAUCCAGCAAUGCCGCGUGCAGGAAGAAGGCCUUCGGGUUGUAAACUGCUUUUGUACGGAACGAAACGGCUCUGGUUAAUACCCGGGGCUAAUGACGGUACCGUAAGAAUAAGCACCGGCUAACUACGUG
rnacentral:rRNA from 1 species